rnacentral:rRNA from 1 species
GACGAACGCUGGCGGCGCGCCUAACACAUGCAAGUCGAACGAGCGAGAGAGAGCUUGCUUUCUCAAGCGAGUGGCGAACGGGUGAGUAACGCGUGAGGAACCUGCCUCAAAGAGGGGGACAACAGUUGGAAAGGACUGCUAAUACCGCAUAAUGCAGCUGGGUCGCAUGACUCUGGCUGCCAAAGAUUUAUCGCUCUGAGAUGGCCUCGCGUCUGAUUAGCUAGUUGGCGGGGUAACGGCCCACCAAGGCGACGAUCAGUAGCCGGACUGAGAGGUUGGCCGGCCACAUUGGGACUGAGACACGGCCCAG